UAGCUGAGCUUACGUUAAGUUGUUUGUUGCUUUAACUCUACUUUUUUUGCUGAUACGGAAUAUAAGAUAAAGACAAUGUUCUUGAGAAUAUUGGUCAUCCUUUUGCUGGCGUAUGAGGUCGUAGCUAAGCCAAUAACAUCAGGCAACUUCUCCCAAGAGUCCACAUCAGACAGCGGCAUCCAGGAGGAAAACAACCUGGUGGACAGAAGAGAACGCACCCACGGACAUCACCACCGCUCUCUUUUAAAGGACGCCGUUGACUGGCUAUCAAAGUGGCUGACCAUCUUUGGAGUCUUCUUGCUGCUGUGCAUAAUCAUCAUCAUAUACUGUGCAUGCAAGGACUACGAGAAACACGGAGACGAGUACAAUGAGCGACUGAAGGCUGUAAUUGUAAGGCGCUUCUAGAGCUGGACCGACCUCUGCGUGUGACCCUAACUAUGCUACAGAAUGCCGCCUGUACCCCAACAAGUACAUGGCAGGCACAAGUCUAUACUGCAACAGAGUGGGUGCUGUUAUCCUGUAGCAUUAGGGC